rnacentral:rRNA from 1 species
GACGAACGCUGGCGGCGUGCCUAAUACAUGUAAGUUGAGCGCUGAAGGUUGGUACUUGUACCAACUGGAUGAGCAGCGAACGGGUGAGUAACGCGUGGGGAAUCUGCCUUUGAGCGGGGGACAACAUUUGGAAACGAAUGCUAAUACCGCAUAAAAACUUUAAACACAAGUUUUAAGUUUGAAAGAUGCAAUUGCAUCACUCAAAGAUGAUCCCGCGUUGUAUUAGCUAGUUGGUGAGGUAAAGGCUCACCAAGGCGAUGAUACAUAGCCGACCUGAGAGGGUGAUCGGCCGAAUUGGGAAUGAAACACGGCCCAAACUCCUACGGGAGGCAGCAGUAGGGAAUCUUCGGCAAUGGACGAAAGUCUGACCGAGCAACGCCGCGUGAGUGAAGAAGGUUUUCGGAUCGUAAAACUCUGUUGGUAGAGAAGAACGUUGGUGAGAGUGGAAAGCUCAUCAAGUGACGGUAACUACCCAGAAAGGGACGGCUAACUACGUG